UUGACAGUAAGGGGGGAGUGACAUACUUUCAGGAGUGAGGGUUGAGCGGGGUUUCCCCCGCCCUGGUAGUCUUAGUAAGCCGGUAAGCUAAUGACUAAGAGCACCACGAUGAUGAUCCAUUUCAUCAUGACCCUUUCCUUCU
rnacentral:sRNA from 1 species